rnacentral:rRNA from 1 species
GAACAGGAUUAGAUACCCUGGUAGUCCACGCCGUAAACGUUGGGAACUAGAUGUAGGGACCAUUCCACGGUUUCUGUGUCGCAGCUAACGCAUUAAGUUCCCCGCCUGGGGAGUACGGCCGCAAGGCUAAAACUCAAAGGAAUUGGCGGGGGCCCGCACAAGCGGCGGAGCAUGCGGAUUAAUUCGAUGCAACGCGAAGAACCUUACCAAGGCUUGACAUAUACCGGAAAAGUGCAGAAAUGUACUCCCCGCAAGGUCGGUAUACAGGUGGUGCAUGGUUGUCGUCAGCUCGUGUCGUGAGAUGUUGGGUUAAGUCCCGCAACGAGCGCAACCCUCGUCCUAUGUUGCCAGCACGUAAUGGUGGGAACUCAUGGGAGACUGCCGGGGUCAACUCGGAGGAAGGUGGGGAUGACGUCAAAUCAUCAUGCCCCUUAUGUCUUGGGCUUCACGCAUGCUACAAUGGCCGAUACAGAGGGCUGCAAUACCGCAAGGUGGAGCGAAUCCCAAAAAGUCGGUCUCAGUUCGGAUUGAGGUCUGCAACUCGACCUCAUGAAGUCGGAGUCGCUAGUAAUCGCAGAUCAGCAACGCUGCGGUGAAUACGUUCCCGGGCCUUGUACACACCGCCCGUCAAGUCAUGAAAGUCGGUAACACCCGAAGC